GAUGAAGAACGUAGCGAAAUGCGAUACGUAGUGUGAAUUGCAGAAUUCAGUGAUUCAUCGAAUCUUUGAACGCACAUUGCACCUCUCGGUAUUCCGGGAGGUAUGCCUGUUCGAGCGUCAUUUGUACCCUCAAGCUCUGCUUGGUGUUGGGUGUUUGUUCCGCCUCUGUGUGUGAACUCGCCUCAAAACAAUUGGCAGCCGGCGUACUUGUUUCGGAGCGCAGCACAUUUUGCGAUCCAGAUCAACGUACAGCGGCAUCCAAGAAGCCUUAUUUAACGCUCUUGACCUCGGAUCAGGUAGGGAUACCCGCUGAACUUAAGCAUAUCAAUAAGCGGAGGA
rnacentral:misc_RNA from 1 species